rnacentral:lncRNA from 1 species
UUCAUUUGGAGUCAACAAACCAUAUGUUAGUCACCUCUAUAAAAGAAGAUGAGUCAGCAUUAACUUGGAAACAAUGGGUGCAUGGACCAGUCAAAUUGAGUGUGUUCGAUUUACGGCAUUAGGCGCAUACGACGAUUAUUUACGAGAGUUCUGAGCCGGAUACGCCGUUGGUUUGGCUUGGGUGGAAUAAGCAGGAUCCGAGGUAUAUGGCGACGAUUAUAAUGGAUAGCGCGAAGGUGGUUGUGUUGGAUAUUCGGUUUUCGACGUUUCUGGUUGUGGAGCUGCAGAGGCAUCAGGCGAGUGUGAAUGCGAUUGCGUGGGCGCCGCAUAGUUCGUGACAUAUUUGUACUGCGGAUGAUGAUUCGCAAGCGCUUAUUUGGGAUUUGAGUUCUAUGGGGCAUCCGGUUGAAGGGGGUUGGAUCUGAUUUUGGCGUGUACUGCGGGUGCUGAGAUUGAACAGUUGCAGUGGUCGUCUUCGCAACCAGAUUUGGUUGCCAUUGCUUUUGCGUUGAAGCUGCAGAUUCUGAGGGUAUGAUUGUGUUAAAAUGUUGGUCUUUUUU